ensembl:misc_RNA 7SK 7SK RNA
GGAUGUGAGGCGAUCUGGUUGUGACAUCUGUCCUCCUGUGCAGCUAAACUGGCUGACUGGGCAGGUGUCUCCUCCCUCUUGCACAGCUCCAUGUACGGGCUUCCCGAAGGUGUGUGCUCGGUCGAAGUGGAUGACCAUCCCCGAUAAAGGAGAACUGGUCUUUGGUCAAGGGUAUAUGAGUAGCUGCACUCUCUGCUACGGAGAAGGCAGUGGCACCCCACUCCAGUACUCUUGCCUGGAAAAUCCCAUGGACGGAGGAGCCUGGUAGGCUGCAGUCCAUAGGGUCACUAAGAGUCGGACAUGACUG